rnacentral:rRNA from 1 species
UACAGAGGUCCCAAGCGUUGUUCGGAUUCACUGGGCGUAAAGGGUGCGUAGGUGGUCGGGUAAGUCUGAUGUGAAAUCUCGGAGCUUAACUCCGAAACGGCAUUGGAUACUAUUCGGCUGGAGGGUUGGAGGGGGGACUGGAAUUCUCGGUGUAGCAGUGAAAUGCGUAGAUAUCGAGAGGAACACCAGUGGCGAAGGCGAGUCCCUGGACAACUCCUGACACUAAGGCACGAAAGCUAGGGGAGCAAACAGGAUUAGAUACCCUGGUAGUCCUAGCCGUAAACGGUGCACGUUUGCUGUAAAAGGAAUCGACCCCUUUUGUGGCGUAGCCAACGCGUUAAACGUGCCGCCUGGGAAGUACGGUCGCAAGAUUAAAACUCAAAGAAAUUGACGGGGGCCUGCACAAGCGGUGGAGUAUGUGGCUCAAUUCGAUGCAACGCGAAGAACCUUACCUGGCCUUGACAUGUAGGUGGUAGAAGGAUGAAAGUCCGACGAUCCCGCAAGGGAAGCCUACACAGGUGCUGCAUGGCUGUCGUCAGCUCGUGUCGUGAGAUGUUGGGUUAAGUCCCGCAACGAGCGCAACCCCUGUGUCCUGUUGCCACCCGGCCGAGAGGCUGGAGCACUCUGGACAGACUGCCUCGCUUCAACGAGGAGGAAGGUGGGGAUGACGUCAAGUCAGUAUGGCCCUUACGGCCAGGGCUGCACACGUACUACAAUGCCCGGCACAAAGGGAAGCAAGAUCGUAAGAUGGAGCAAAUCCCCAAAAACCGGGCCCAGUUCAGAUUGUCGUCUGCAACUCGACGGCAUGAAGCUGGAAUCGCUAGUAAUGGCGCAUCAGCUACGGCGCCGUGAAUACGUUCCCAGGCCUUGUACACACCGCCCGUCACAUCAUGAAAGCCGUUUGUACCCGAAGUCACCCCUCAAAAGGUGCCGAAGGUAUGGAUGGUGAUUGGGAUG